rnacentral:rRNA from 1 species
UACGGAGGGUGCAAGCGUUGCUCGGAAUCACUGGGCGUAAAGCGACCGCAGGCGGCCUGACAAGUCGGAUGUGAAAGCCCUGGGCUCAACUCAGGAAUUGCAUUCGAAACUGGCAGGCUCGAGUACGGGAGAGGGGGGUGGAAUUCCUGGUGUAGGGGUGAAAUUCGUUGAUAUCAGGAGGAACACCGGUGGCGAAGGCGGCCAUCUGGACGGAUACUGACGCUGAGACGCGAAAGCGUGGGGAGCGAACAGG